rnacentral:tRNA from 1 species
CAAAAAAUAGUUUAAUUUA